UAUGAAUAGUCUCAUACGUACAUGCUCUUGCUAAUUGGUACAUGUAUGUAUAAAUUCCGGGAGCGAGCGACGUAAGACUUCCAAAUCUGUGCGGACUCUGACAGGGAAGUUCCUUCUAAUGCUGGAGAUGUACUACAGUGUCAGCUGUUCACAACCAGUGAACUAAGACAAAAUGGAAUUGAAUAUGAAAGUGCCGACAAGAGAAAAUAAUAUUUUCAUUGGUAGAAAUAACUUGCU